CUUCACUCUGAAGCAGACCGGCGGUGGAAGUGGAGUCUCGGUGGUGCAGUGAGCAGUCUGGUGAAGUGUGAGCAUGCAGACAUGGUGAAGUGUGAGCGGUUCGCAGCGGGUUUGUCUCGGUCAGUGUUGGCGUGUUGAAUCGACUCACUGCUCAGAAGCUCCUGACACAGACAGGCUGAUCACAGUGUGGACACGGAGUUACACUGAGCGGCUGCACUGAGAGGCUGCUGCUGCUGCUGCUGCUGCUCCUGGAGCUCCGGCUUCCUCUUCCACCGCAUCGUCUCAACACAGCAGACUCUCCUCCAUUUGUGAUUCAGCAGCUUGAGUGUGCACAAGUGGCUCUGCUUCCCAGAGUGCAGUGGGGCUUCGGAGCUUCUCUGGAAACGAGAGAGAAAAGAAAGACCUUGAAGACACAGGAUCCUGUUCCUUAUAUACCUGCCAAGUCGGCCUCAUGGUGCACUCCUAAACCAAAGCAUUAACAUCAAUAGUUUAAGGAUUCCUUCAGCAGCAUGCUCUUGAUUGCUGUGCAUGAGAUGAGUGAAGUACUUGAACAGAUGUGAAGGGAGAAAACUAGGACGCAUCUCAUUUCUGUUGAACUUAGAAGAGGACUGAGCAAGAUGACAGUGCAGGAUGGCAAAGGAGAACUGCAACUUCGUUUGUUGUGAUCUUCAGACGGGGUUUUGAACUGCUGAGCUCUCUGAUACUGUCUCAAUCGUCCCGCUCCUGGACUGCGGCGAUUAC